rnacentral:rRNA from 1 species
AGCAGCCGCGGUAAUUCCAGCUCCAAUAGCGUAUAUUAAAGUUGUUGCAGUUAAAAAGCUCGUAGUUGAAUUUCGGGGUCAGUAGGUUGGUCAUGCCACUGGUAUGUACUGGUCUCACUGAUUCCUCCUUCCUGAUGAGCCGUAAUGCCAUUAAUUUGGUGUUGCGAGGAAUCUGGACUGUUACUUUGAAAAAAUUAGAGUGUUUAAAGCAGGCUAACGCUUGAAUACAUUAGCAUGGAAUAAUGAAAUAGGACGUUCGAUCUUAUUUUGUUGGUUUCUAAGAUUGACGUAAUGAUUAAUAGGGAUAGUUGGGGGCAUUAGUAUUCAAUUGUCAGAGGUGAAAUUCUUGGAUUUAUUGAAGACUAACUACUGCGAAAGCAUUUGCCAAGGAUGUUUUCAUUAAUCAAGAACGAAAGUUAGGGGAUCGAAGACGAUCAGAUACCGUCGUAGUCUUAACCAUAAACUAUGCCGACUAGGGAUCGGAUGAUGUUAAUUUUUUAAUGUACUCAUUC